rnacentral:rRNA from 1 species
CAGCAGCCACGGGAACACGAAGGGUGCAAGCGUUACUCGGAAUUACUGGGCGUAAAGCGUGCGUAGGUGGUGGUUUAAGUCCGUUGUGAAAGCCCUGGGCUCAACCUGGGAAUUGCAGUGGAUACUGGGUCACUAGAGUGUGGUAGAGGAUAGUGGAAUUUCCGGUGUAGCAGUGAAAUGCGUAGAGAUCGGAAGGAACAUCUGUGGCGAAGGCGACUAUCUGGGCCAACACUGACACUGAGGCACGAAAGCGUGGGGAGCAAACAGGAUUAGAUACCCCCGUAGUCCCUGUCUCUUAUAC